rnacentral:rRNA from 5 species
UCGCUAAGAAAAAUAGGUAACCAUUAGCGAAAAGUACAGUGAUGGAACAAAAAGACGAAUAAAAAAAAAGAGUAAGCAAUGUCAAUAUAGGUACCUCUUC